GCGCCCGAUUAGCUAGUUGGUGAGGUAAUGGCUCACCAAGGCAAUGAUCGGUAGCUGGUCUGAGAGGAUGGCCAGCCACACUGGAACUGAGACACGGUCCAGACUCCUACGGGAGGCAGCAGUGGGGAAUCUUGGACAAUGGGGGAAACCCUGAUCCAGCCAUGCCGCGUGAGUGAUGAAGGCCUUCGGGUUGUAAAACUCUUUCGACGGGGACGAUAAUGACGGUACCCGUAGAAGAAGCUCCGGCUAACUUCGUGCCAGCAGCCGCGGUAAUACGAAGGGGGCUAGCGUUGUUCGGAAUUACUGGGCGUAAAGCGCGCGCAGGCGGUCUUCCAAGUCAGUGGUGAAAGCCCGGAGCUCAACUCCGGAACUGCCAUUGAAACUGUAAGACUUGAGGAUGAGAGAGGUGAGUGGAAUUCCCAGUGUAGAGGUGAAAUUCGUAGAUAUUGGGAAGAACACCGGUGGCGAAGGCGGCUCACUGGCUCAUAUCUGACGCUCAGGCGCGACAGCGUGGGGAUCAAACAGGAUUAGAUACCCUGGUAGUCCACGCCGUAAACGAUGAAUGCUAGCCGUUGGGCAGCUUGCUGUUCAGUGGCGCAGCUAACGCAUUAAGCAUUCCGCCUGGGGAGUACGGCCGCAAGGUUGAA
rnacentral:rRNA from 1 species